GACGAACCGUGCGAACGUUAUUCGGAAUCACUGGGCUUAAAGCGCGUGUAGGCGGGAAGGUACGUCGGUCGUUGAAAUCCCCCGGCUCAACCGGGGAACGGGCGCCGAUACGGCCUUUCUGGAGGAACGUAGGGGGACCUGGAACUUCCGGUGGAGCGGUGAAAUGCGUUGAGAUCGGAAGGAACGCCCGUGGCGAAAGCGAGGUCCUGGACGUUUUCUGACGCUGAGACGCGAAAGCCAGGGGAGCAAACGGG
rnacentral:rRNA from 1 species